ensembl:lncRNA TTN-AS1 TTN antisense RNA 1
AGAAUAGACGCCUUGAUGGCUCCUCUGGCAGUUCUUGAUGACCAUGGAUGAGCUAAUGGCUGUGGUCUCAAUGGUGGCUUCUUGAGGUUGUAAUUGCAGUGGAAGGGGAGACCAAACAUUCAAAGAUUGCUGAAGAGCCAACGAACUCUGAUUCUGUCAAGAUGAUGUCUUUGAUUUCUUUCACAAACUUCAGUGGCACAGCCUUUAGCUGAUGGUAUUGCCUCUGAAUUUGCUGAUUCAGAAGAUGUCGGACUCAUGUUAUCCUAUAGAAGAUGUAACAACCCAUA